rnacentral:tRNA from 1 species
UCCCUAGUGGCUCAGAUGGUAAAGAAUCUGCCUACAAUGCAGAAGACCCAGGUUCGAUUUCUGGAUUGGGAA